ACGCAGGGCGCGCCCGCACGUUCUUUUACGAUGCUUAUUCGCAGAAGAUAGUGCUGCUGAGCGCGUACAGAGUGAGCUGUUGUAAAACUAACUGGACUGGAGGAGACGAUGGAAUCAACCGAAACACCAAAAGAUCUGGUCUUUGGGCUCUGUGGGAUUCUUUUAAGACCACGUACACAUAUCAGAAGCAGAAUCACUGAGAUGGGCUGAUGGAGAAGAGGAGGUUGACUUGAAAUGAACCUUGGAAGAAGGGCUGCUUGCUCAGAAUGUAUCCAAGAAGCAUGGAUACUGCAGCACAGUUUGGUUGGAUUGGAUGCUUGGAAGAAUGACAAGAGAACUGGGUAUUCCUUAUGAUGCUCUCCUACCAAGGUGGUUUAGAAAUCUGCAGGUGUUCUAAGGCUCAAGGAUUCCUGAUUGCUGUCCAGUGGUUGGAUUGAAGCACAAGGUGUUCACAAGAGGGGCUAAAAGUUGGAAGCGCAGAUAGUUCAUGAGUGUACAAUAAAUAUGUGGUUUUGCACCACAGCAAAUCAAGAA